GAUGAACGCUGGCGGCGUGCCUAAUACAUGCAAGUCGAGCGAAUGGAUUAAGAGCUUGCUCUUAUGAAGUUAGCGGCGGACGGGUGAGUAACACGUGGGUAACCUGCCCAUAAGACUGGGAUAACUCCGGGAAACCGGGGAUAAUACCGGAUAACAUUUUGAACCGCAUGGUUCGAAAUUGAAAGGCGGCUUCGGCUGUCACUUAUGGAUGGACCAGGGUCGCCAUAGCUAGUUGGUGAGGUAACGGCUCACCAAGGCAACGAUGCGUAGCCGACCUGAGAGGGUGAUCGGCCACACUGGGACUGAGACACGGACCAGACUCCUACGGGAGGCAGCAGUAGGGAAUCUUCCGCAAUGGACGAAAGUCUGACGGAGCAACGCCGCGUGAGUGAUGAAGGCUUUCGGGUCGUAAAACUCUGUUGUUAGGGAAGAACAAGUGCUAGUUGAAUAAGCUGGCACCUUGACGGUACCUAACCAGAAAGCCACGGCUAACUACGUGCCAGCCGCCGCCGUAA
rnacentral:rRNA from 1 species